UGGGGUAUGGUGUAAUUGGCAACACGGCUGAUUCUGGUUCAGUUGUUCUAGGUUCGAGUCCUAGUACCCCAGCGA
rnacentral:tRNA from 7 species